GACGAACGCUGGCGGCGUGCUUAACACAUGCAAGUCGAACGGUGAAGGGACUGGUUUUGCUGGUCCUGGAUGAGUGGCGAACGGGUGAGUAACACGUGAGUAACCUGCCCCCUUCUUCUGGAUAACCGCAUGAAAGUGUGGCUAAUACGGGAUAUUCUGGGUCUGUCGCAUGGUGGGCCUGGGAAAGAUUGCGCCUUUUUUGGUGUUUUUGGUGGGGGAUGGGCUCGCGGCCUAUCAGCUUGUUGGUGGGGUGAUGGCCUACCAAGGCGGUGACGGGUAGCCGGCCUGAGAGGGUGGACGGUCACACUGGGACUGAGACACGGCCCAGACUCCGACGGGAGGCAGCAGUGGGGAAUAUUGCACAAGGGGCGCAAGCCUGAUGCAGCGACGCCGCGUGAGGGAUGGAGGCCUUCGGGUUGUGAACCUCUUUCGCCAGUGAAGCAGGCCUGCCUCUUUUUGUGGGUGGGUUGACGGUAGCUGGAUAAGAAGCGCCGGCUAACUACGUG
rnacentral:rRNA from 1 species